CUCUCUGGUAGGGAAGCUGGAGUGAGCUGAGAUGGAUCCAAAGGAAGCAGUUAUGGCUUAUCAAGGAACCCUAUGGUUUACAUAAAAGAGGUGAGUGAAUUAAUGAUAAAUUUGCAACUCAUGUUUUUUAAUUAUAUUAUUUGAACUUAUAUUAAUUCAAUUAUUCUGAAAUUGCACUUUAACGAAUAUUGAUACCUCCUCAGUUUGUCCCACUCAUGACAUCGAUUUUAAAUAUUUCAUCACCAGAUUUAUAGAUAUUGAUGUCUCGAACCUAUUCUUGGCAGGUUUUUUAGUUUGGUCUGUCAUCCCUGGAUCUAACCGUAAGAAGAUAAGAUUUUCUAUGAUUCAUCAUAUUCCCUCUUUUUUUUUUCCUCGUUUAAAAUACGUAGAAAAAAAUCUAAGCUUACAGAAAAAGACAAGAAAGUAAAUAUAUAAAUUGUUAAAAAACUUGAAGAUAAUGUAAAAUUAUUUAGUUGGUGAAAACGGUUGAAUUUUAACUAUAAAGUUCUUGGUUCAAACUUUUUACCAUUAUUUUAGUUAACUUGUGUAAAAUGCGGUCGAAAAAAAAAUUAACACUGUCCCGCGGCACCCCCUCCAAAUUCGUAGGAGAUUUCAUUUUCUUACCAAAACCGACUCUGCCGGAAAAAUCAAAAAAAACGUUCUUCUUCUGACAGAGCAGAUCUCUUUCGGAGUUGGGCAAUUUGCCAUCCCUAAUAACCGCUACCCUCCACUUUGAAUUGUAUAUUUUGAUCCUGUAAUUUAAAACAAAUACAAAAAACAUAUCACAACUAGCGUUUGACACUCACCCUUUGUCAAUCACGUGCCAACCUAAGCUCGAGACCCAAAGAUUUGACGAGGUGCCAAUUCAAAAAGUUAACAACUUUCCCACACAAAAUCCUCGGUAUAAAACAAUUGCAGCACAGGAUGUAGGUUAUAUGCAUAAUCAUGACAUUAAAAGGACUGGACUCAGUAUCAUGUUACUCAGAGAGCCACUUUGGUUUUUGUAAUAAUCCCACUUCACUUUCUCCCCCACUUGAUUGAAUACCUUUUUUCGAACACCACUUUGAUUUCCAACCCUUCAUCUCAACGUUGUCACCCGCAAGCCACCAGCCUCGUCUUCUCUCUCACACCGUUGCCAUCGCUGGCCUCUCGCAUCAGCUUUGUCCUCCCCCACCGUCCUUGUUUGCAAAACCCCAGUGGCCAGUGAUACUAAAGUCUCCCUCUUUAAAAAUGUAUCCAAUAAAUUUUCCAUUAAUUCGAUAAUAGUUUCCUAUUUCGACUGAUUUAAAAUUCCCUAAAAGCAAAGCAAAUCAACAACGCAGCAGGUAUACUGUAUACACAAACAAAAAUACAGAUACUAAAGAAGAAAUCGAGUAAAACUCAUCUACCGACAAUAAUCCAAUAAUUAAAAAAAAAAAAACUCAGUGGAAAGUCGGCAAAAUCUAUCAAAUCUGUGAAAAGAUUAUGAACAUAUGAUUUUAAAAUUGUAAAAUUUUGUAUUGAUUUGAUACUAUUUUCCUGUUUCCUCCUAAAAACAAAACAAAACAAAACAAAUCAAGAAUGCAGCAGAUAUAUAUACAUAAAAAAUACAGAGAAUAGAGAAGAAGUCGAAAAAUAGGUUUACUACCGACAAUAUUCCAAUAAUUUAAAAAAUAAAAAAUCAGUGGAAAGUGGGGCAAAAACUACCCAAUCAGUGAAAAGCUUAUGCCCUCACAGAUUUAACAUUGUAAUAAUUUUUAUUGGUUUGAUAAUAUUUACAGGCCAAAAUACAGAAUGCAGCAGAUACAUACACACAAUAUAUAUAAGGAAUGGUGAAGAAAUCGAGCCAUACCCGCCAUCGUCUAAGCCGGUGGACGGAAGCAUCUUUCGUUCUGUAGAUCUCAAAGGGGCCAGAAGAAGAGCCUUCACCGUAGUUGCUGGAGCGGUCAGUCCCGGCCUCCACGUCGUUCGGUUGUCGGCGAUACGGCGACUGCUGGAAACAAUCCGUCAUAUCCAUCUUCCGCCGUUCGCUGUCGCAGGAGAGAUGACACCGUCAACACACUCACUGAUCCAUCUCUGUGCAUCACCAAACACUGGCAUUAAGCCCUCUCUCUCUCUCUCUCUCUCUCUCUCUGUAGAAAUUCAUUAUUCAGCAAAUGAAACUGGAAACUGGAUAGCUUAAGAUCCCCACCGCCCCAUGAUCGGUUGACAAUGGCCAAUUGGGAGAUAGUGUAGGAAAAAAUGGGUUUUAACCAUUGUUUUGUCAAAGCAUAGUUUUGUCGAACUUUGAGACUUAGUUAAAAUGGGACCUAUACACUUUUGGAUGCGUUUAAGUAGCUAUAGAUACACUUACAUGUAUGUGAGAAUUAAGAAUGUGUAAUUAGUUGUUCAAAACUACUUACAAAUGAAUUGAAAUUAAUUUCAAAGUAUG
rnacentral:lncRNA from 1 species